UAGUGAAAUUGAAAUAACAGUGAAGAUGCUGUUUAGGAAUUCUAAGACGAGAAGACCCCAUUGAGCUUUACUAUUAACUUGUAUUGCCAGAGCAAUAAAGGGAACCCCAAAGGUUCCCGGGAUCCAACGGAUCCCUUAGGUACCCUGUCCUUUGCUUCAUAAUAAAAUUGUGAAGACUAAGUGGAAAAAGAUAAAACAAGGGAUUAAAAAAAACGGGUCUCUGGGCCCCGGCUCUCAAAAGGCCCCUUGGCUUCUUGUCCCAAUUUAUAUGAAAAACCACUCUUUUUAUUAAGAUUACUGUCUAAAACCGUACAAGUAAGAUAGUUUGGUUGGGGCGACCGCCUUCGAAAAAGUAUCGAAGGCGCACAUAAGAUUAGUCCGGAGGGGGGUCCUACGAAUCCCCCUCCCGGGGGCAAUGCCCCAAAAAAGAUUAGUUUGACUGAAAGGGCUACAACCCGAACAGGCGCCGGGGGAUCCGGGG
rnacentral:rRNA from 1 species